rnacentral:rRNA from 1 species
GACGAACGCUGGCGGCGUGCCUAAUACAUGCAAGUAGAACGCUGAAGAGAGGAGCUUGCUCUUCUUGGAUGAGUUGCGAACGGGUGAGUAACGCGUAGGUAACCUGCCUGGUAGCGGGGGAUAACUAUUGGAAACGAUAGCUAAUACCGCAUAAAAUUGAUUAUUGCAUGAUAAUUAAUUGAAAGAUGCAAUUGCAUCACUACCAGAUGGACCUGCGUUGUAUUAGCUAGUUGGUGAGGCAACGGCUCACCAAGGCGACGAUACAUAGCCGACCUGAGAGGGUGAUCGGCCACACUGGGACUGAGACACGGCCCAGACUCCUACGGGAGGCAGCAGUAGGGAAUCUUCGGCAAUGGGGGGAACCCUGACCGAGCAACGCCGCGUGAGUGAAGAAGGUUUUCGGAUCGUAAAGCUCUGUUGUAAGAGAAGAACGGGUGUGAGAGUGGAAAUUUCACACUG